CUUUCAGCAGCGCAGCAGAGAGGAGCAGAAGAAAACAGAGCGUGGCCGGAGUUUGGAGAGAUUUGUUAGCAGGAGUUUGGAGAGAUUUGUUUGAAAAAUUUAAAGACGAAGACUUCAUCUUAACCGACGCAAGAGGCAAUUUCAGAGCAGGUCCAGGAAGAGAUCGCUAUGAGUCAAACACAGAUGGAGGUUCUGACCCCUGCGCUGAGUUAGAGAUAAGGAGAAC